GUUACGGUGGUUGAUUGGUCCCGCAUGACAGGAAGUACUUUUAUUUUGAUACUUCCGGGUUUCACUACGCUUGUUUCCGCGGAUAAAUCCGGUGAAGCACGCCGGCGGGAUUUUACGUACCUCACGGCGGAAGAACAAGAUGACGGUCCUGUUUAAUUUCUGACGAUUUGACGAUAAACCACCGCGUCCCACCGGUGGCACGCAGGGCGCAAAGAGGCCAAUGGCCGCCAAUGAUGGUCCACAAGCCCACACGACUCGUCGGUUGGGGCUGUUUUAAAGAUGAGUGAAUCGUAAACAAAUAUAAAUGACAAAUGUCGUUUUUUGAAUGCAAUAUCGUUGCAGGUAUGGCUGUGGGGUCCCCCCCGCCCCCAGAAAUUGUGACCCAUGACCCCAGUCUGCGUUAACUCCUAAUCCAGUCCUUAUCCUCCAGAAGACUUGCAAGGAGGCGGCGAUGGGAGACAGCUACGUGUACCGGCGACUUCCCUACGCCAGAGGAGGCGAGGAGGGCGACGAGGAGGAAGGAGAGGAGAGAGGAAGGAUGCAAGAGAGUGUCGGACGACAGAUGAUGCAGGGCGAGGAAGGCACCGAGUGGCUGCUAGAGCUGCUGACCGACGUCCAGCUGCAGCAGUACUUCCUGCGCCUACGCGACGAGCUCAACAUCACGCGGCUCUCGCACUUCGACUACGUUAAGAACGAAGACCUGGAGAAGAUCGGCAUGGGGCGCCCGGGUCAGAGGAGGCUGUGGGAGGCCGUCAAGAGGAGGCGAGCGCUUUAUAAACGCAAGUCCUGGAUGAGCAAGGUGUUUCCCGUGAAGCGGCCAGACGCCGACCCACAGCAGCCCCUCCCACAGGGCGCGUUGUCCAGCGGCAGCGGGGCCACUCCCACCAGCGACUCUGCGGCCUCGCUCACCUGCCUCAUCCGAGAGUCUGAGCUGCAGUUGUUCGAGCGCUUGGGCGACGGCACGUUCGGGGUGGUGCGCAGGGGCGAGUGGAGCGCCCCCAGCAGCCGAGUGCUGUCAGUGGCGGUGAAGUGUCUCAAGGCCGGCGUGCUGGACUCGGACGGGCUGGACGACUUCAUCAGAGAGGUGAACGCCAUGCACUCGCUCAGCCACCAGAACCUGAUCCGCCUAUAUGGGAUUGUCUUGACGCAGCCCAUGAAGAUGGUGACUGAGCUGGCGCCAUUGGGCUCGCUGUUGGACCGUUUGAGGAAACGUCAGGGUCACAUUCUGAUCUCGGCGUUGUGCAACUACGCCGUGCAGGUGGCAUGUGGCAUGGCCUACCUGGAGCAGCGUCGUUUCCUCCACAGGGACCUGGCGGCCCGCAACGUGCUGCUGUCCACCAACGACUUGGUGAAGAUUGGAGACUUCGGCCUGAUGAGGGCGCUGCCGUCACACGCCGACCAGUACGUCAUGGAGGAGGGCCAUAAAAUCCCGUUCCCAUGGUGUGCUCCGGAAUCUUUGAAAUCCCGCAGCUUCUCGCACGCGUCCGACACCUGGAUGUUCGGGGUGACCCUUUGGGAGAUGUUCAGCCAUGGACAGGAGCCAUGGAUGGGCCUGAAUGGAAGCCAGAUCCUCCACAAAGUGGACGUGGAGGCUGAGCGGCUGUGCAAGCCGGAUGACUGUCCUCAGGACAUCUACAACGUCGUACUGCAGUGCUGGAGCCCCAAACCAGAGGACAGACCCACCUUUGUCGCCCUCAGGGACUUCCUGAUGGAGACCAUGCCGACAGACAUGAGAGCUCUCCAGGACUUUGCGGAGGAAGGCAAACUUGAGAUUCAAAUGAAUGAUGUCAUCGCCAUCAUAGACGGAAGGGCAGAGCACUACUGGUGGAGAGGCCAGAACAGGCGAACGCUGCGCAUGGGCCAGUUCCCUCGCCACGUGGUGACGGCGGUGGCGGGCCUGUCCGCACACGACAUCAGCCGGCCGCUCAAGCACUCGUUCAUCCAUACGGGACACGGGGACACCGACCCGCACCGGAGCUGGGGCCACGCAGACCGCAUAGACAGUCUAUAUUUGGGGAACCCCAUGAAACCCCCAGAUGUUCUCGGAGUGGACCCUUGCAUGUCAAGACCGACCAAGCUCCCCAACCGGGCCAAAAAGCAACCACCUCCUCGCCCUCCUCAACCUGCAGUGCUGCUGAAGAAGCCUUACUACGAUUCCGUGAUGGAGGAUUAUGACGAUGAGGAAGACGACCCUGCCAGCGCUCGGCCCGGCUUAAAGAGGGUCGGCGUGACCCUGGGCCUCAAGCUCCGCCCAUGGGAAGGCUGCGGUGGCGGCGCACGCGCGGACGCCGGCGAAGUGUCGCUCAUCGACUUCGACGACAGCUUCAGCUCGACCACGCCCUCACCGCUCACCGAAACGCAGCAGCCAGACGAGGACACGCUGAAGGACACGCCCUCCAUCCUGGACUGGCCCCUCCCACAGCCGACCUACGACGAGGUUGCUACGGAACUGCCAGACCAAUUGGAGGACCAGGAGGUGCGAUCCAUCAACAAAGGGACAACGGAAGAGGCCCCGCCCACUCCCUCCGGCGCCGCCAUGUUGGGCAGGAACGAGUCUCAGUCGGCUGACCUCUUCCAGGAGCUUCAGCGAGAGGUGAUGGUGAAGCUGCAGGUUCCCAUGGCGACAGGCCGCUCUCUGCCCUCCUCACCGCUCCCGCCGCCGCUGGCCCCGCUCACGCCUCACCGGCAGAUCUAUCUGCCGCCUCCCUCGCCGUCCUCCAGCUUCACGUCGGGCUUCGGGGACCGACCGGUGGUGCCGCCCCGCAGCCCCGCGCCGCCGCUGCGCCCCUCCAAGGUCGCCGCCCACCCGCACCACAGCUCCAUCUCUCUGGAGCUGGAGGACACGCCUCCCCAGAUCCCUCCGCGGGACCGCGCCCUCUCCCAGCCGGGCUCGCGCUCCUCCUCGCCGCUCACUCUGGUGCCGUCCUCCCCCUUCCUUCCACCUCCCCCGCUUUCCGUCUCCCCCCGUCGGGCGUCUGGCCUCCUGGGUCCCCUGCUGUCCUGCUCCCCUCCCAAAGGCCCGCCUCCUGGUUCUUCUUCCUCCUUUUUGGAUCCUCUGGCUUUGCGGGAGCCUCGUGGACUCUCCUCCGCGAUUGACAGCUCGCAGAGCUCUGCCCCGGCCCCAUUGCCAGAGCGACCAGCUAUACUGGAAAGGUACGGCGCAGCCAAUAUGGCGGCGGUCAAACCAAUGAUACAGCACCCUGCCCGGGCCAAGUCCAACUCCUCUUACAACAACAACAACAACGGACGGACGGCAGCUCCCAGCAUGCAGCGGGAGCUGAGCAUCAUACAGGUCCAAGGAGCCGUUCAUGGGGUCACACUGGACGAGUGUCAGGCUGCGUUGCAAAGUCACAACUGGGGAAUCCAGCAGGCCGUCGACCAUUUGAAGGUGGAGCAGUUGUUUCGUCUGGGCCUGCGGUCCCGGUCCGAGUGCGAGGCGCUCCUGCGGCGCUCCCAGUGGAACCUGGAACAGGCCAGCUCGCUCAUGCUGGACGCGUACGGACCGCACUGCAACAGCAUAUGAAGUGACGGCAGCAGGAGAUAUCAGCGGUGACUCCUCUGUCCAAGGACCCGGCCUUGAAUGUUCUCCUCUUGUGGAAAUAAAAGUGGUAUGAAAAGAGAAUGCCCCCGGGAUCAAACGUGUGACCUUUCCAUUACGGGACAAGUCUCUACUGCACUCCAUCUCUCCCCGCUCAUAUUGAUUGCAGUGGUGCUCUGAAUCAGUGUGUGAUCCCUGGACGGCCUUUCUCAUCCACAACAUCACUAAGCACUCCUGUCACAUUUACUGAUGGUGCGUGACACACACACACACACACACACACACACACACACACACACACACACACACACACACACACACACACACACACACACACACACACACACACACACACACACACACACACACACACACACCAUUCACUUGCUCAGUUUGCAGACAGACAAUCUACCUUAAUGACUCAAUCAAAUUUGUGGUAUCAAAUCACAUGACGAGUUUGAUGCCAGACAAGUAAGUAAGUAAGUAAGUGAGAUUUCCCAGCCUGCUGAAUAACUUGUCAGUUGUGCUUACUUAGCAUGGACUCCGGACUCCUACCAGGACUGUUUAUCCUAAUGUUAGCUCCGUGUUCUCUGCCACAUUUUUAUUUAUUCAUUUUUGGCAUUCAUUUAGUUAGCCAACAAAUGAGGUUCCCCUGGGGUCAAUCAUGAGUCCACUAUAAAAAUGUGUUUUUAAAAAGUCUGAGUCCGUUUUGCGUAUUCUAAGGGUCGCACAGACUAGAGGGAAUUCACGGCUUUUUGAAGUGAUCCGAAUCCGGAGCCUGGCUCGUUAGUAUAGUUAUUUUUUUAAUAUGUAUUAUUAAUUUUUUUGUAAUUACUGAAACAAUCACUGGUAGCAAUUAUAAGAUAAUAUGUUGAUCAGGAUAAUUUACUUACCCCAGUAUUACUAUUAUUCUAAAAUAUUUACUAUAUAUUUUUUUUUCUGUUGCAAGUACACCUCUGCACAAUGAUAGGCAAGCUACCGUAUUUUUCGGACUACAAGUCGCAGUUUUUUUCAUAGUUUGGCCGGAGGUGCGACUUAUACUCUGGAGCGACUUAUGUGUGAAAUUAUUAACACAUUACCGUAAAAUAUCAAAUAAUAUUAUUUAGCUCAUUCACGUAAGAGACUAGACGUAUAAGAUUUCAUCGGAUUUAGCGAUUAGGAGUGACAGAUUGUUUGGUAAACGUAUAGUAUGUUCUAUAUGUUAUAGUUAUUUGAAUGACUCUUACCAUAAUAUGUUACGUCAACAUACCAGGCACGUUCUCAGUUGGUUAUUUAUGC